GAAGAGUUGAGUGAAGCCUGCAGAGAGUCCUCCUGGGGACAGAAAAGUGCAUGGAGCCUCUCCACCCAGUCAUUCACUUCCUCCUCUACGUGCUCGCCUACUCCUGCGUCUACUCCUGUCUGUAUUUGUUGGUUUAUUUUAUUAGCAUCUUUACGGAGGAUUAGGCAACCCGCUGGACACAAGCCUCUUUGGGUACAGAAAACCCUACCCACUGCCCAUGUCCUUCGCACCGAUGGAUAGGCCAGCACGCUUCACUGGCCGCUUCAGAGGCGUGAGGACGUCUACAGUCUCUCAUCUUCCUUUAGUCCAGCUCAGAACCCAGCGCUCUCCGGGAAGCACGGAAAUUGGAUCACUCUGUAAAGCCAAAC
rnacentral:lncRNA from 1 species